CAUUUAUCUAGUAAGUCACGAAAAACUACUCCGUCGUUGAAACAAAUUCCUCCUUCAUUUUAAUUUUUUUGAUUCUCGGUUGUAAUUUCUCGCAUACCCAAAUUCUAAGUGUGGUAUUUUUAUUCAUAUCCUGUUUUUUAAACAUUACUACAAUUUCACACCAGAACAUUAGAUAUUUAAUGAUUUAAGGCAGAAUAGUAGUAUUAUUAAAGCUAAGGUUUUUAUUGUCUUAUUUUAGUGCAUCUCUACAUUUGGCUUGCCGUUAAUCUAUUGUUUAGUGGAGUUUUAGUUCGCGAGAAUGUUCUCAGCACUUAGUGAGCAGAUAAUACCAACGAAAUUUUUGACAGCUGCAAUGCCGAAUCAGCGAUCAAAAAAUUCAAUUGAUGCCUUAUUGCGGGAGUUAGAGGACGUGAAGGAGAGAGGAAAGGAAACCAGUUAUGAAGAGGAUGAAGAUGAUUUCUUUGAAAUUCUCCACAAUGGAAGGAUGAAGGAAGCCAGGAGGAGAACCACGGCCCUUCAAGAGCAGCUAAAACGGGCGAAAGAUCAUUACAAUACGAUCUUUAGAGCUUAUUCAAAAUUGUUUGCCGACGCUGAGUUUGGGAGUGUUGCAGGCGGAGGUGACAGUUUGUUGAAUGCUCGCAUUGGCAAAUUCUAAUUGCGAUGACAC